rnacentral:rRNA from 1 species
GACGAACGCUGGCGGCGUGCUUAACACAUGCAAGUCGAACGGAAAGGCCCUGCUUUUGUGGGGUGCUCGAGUGGCGAACGGGUGAGUAACACGUGAGUAACCUGCCCUUGACUUUGGGAUAACUUCAGGAAACUGGGGCUAAUACCGGAUAGGAGCUCCUGCUGCAUGGUGGGGGUUGGAAAGUUUCGGCGGUUGGGGAUGGACUCGCGGCUUAUCAGCUUGUUGGUGGGGUAGUGGCUUACCAAGGCUUUGACGGGUAGCCGGCCUGAGAGGGUGACCGGCCACAUUGGGACUGAGAUACGGCCCAGACUCCUACGGGAGGCAGCAGUGGGGAAUAUUGCACAAUGGGCGGAAGCCUGAUGCAGCAACGCCGCGUGCGGGAUGACGGCCUUCGGGUUGUAAACCGCUUUCGCCUGUGACGAAGCGUGAGUGACGGUAAUGGGUAAAGAAGCGCCGGCUAACUACGUG